rnacentral:rRNA from 1 species
UACGGGGGAUGCAAGCGUUAUCCGGAAUUAUUGGGCGUAAAGGGUCCUGAGGUGGCUAGCCAAGUCUAUUGUGAAAUAUCAGGGCUUAACCCUGAACAUGCGGUGGAAACUAGAAAGCUUGAGUACAGUAGGGGCGGAGGGAAUUUCCGGGUGGAGCGGUGAAAUGCGUAGAGAUCGGAAAGAACACCAACGGCGAAAGCACUCUGCUGGGCCGACACUGACACUGGAGAGACGAAAGCUA